rnacentral:rRNA from 1 species
AUGCAGCGACGCCGCGUGCGGGAUGACGGCCUUCGGGUUGUAAACCGCUUUCAGCUCUGACGAAGCUUUUGUGACGGUAGGAGCAGAAGAAGCACCGGCUAACUACGUGCCAGCAGCCGCGGUAAUACGUAGGGUGCGAGCGUUGUCCGGAAUUAUUGGGCGUAAAGAGCUUGUAGGCGGCUUGUCGCGUCUGCUGUGAAAACCCGGGGCUUAACCCCGGGCUUGCAGUGGGUACGGGCAGGCUAGAGUGUGGUAGGGGAGACUGGAAUUCCUGGUGUAGCGGUGGAAUGCGCAGAUAUCAGGAGGAACACCGAUGGCGAAGGCAGGUCUCUGGGCCAUUACUGACGCUGAGAAGCGAAAGCGUGGGGAGCGAACAGGAUUAGAUACCCUGGUAGUCC